rnacentral:lncRNA from 1 species
CAACCGCAAAUGACGAGGCACUUGCAGGUCCCAGCCCGUUCAGAGUUUUCAAGGAAGCAGCUCCCAGGCUACUGCCACCUUCCUGGGACCUGUGAGCCCCUCAUCACCCAAGCUGGCAGAAUCCCUCCAACUCAUGGCUCCGUGAAACCUGAGUGCCUGCCUCCGCUGACCAAUUCCCUGGGUGGAUUUUCUUCUGGUGGUCGGAAAACUGUAUCAGUCUUUUCCAGAUGUCUGGCAUUACAUUCUGUCAUUUGGAAUACAGUUGAUUCUUGAACAAUGUGGGAGUUGGGGGCACCAAAUCCCACGCAGUCAAAAAUCCACAUAUAACUUUUGACUCUGCAAAAACUUAACUACUGAUAGCCUACUGUUGACCAGAAGCCUUACUGAUAACAUAAACAGUUUUCGUAUGUUAAAUGUAUCAUAUACUGUAUUCCUACAAUAAAGUCGGCUAGAGCAAAGAAAAUGUUAUUAAGAAAAUCAUACGGAAGGGAGUAUACAUUUACUCUUCAUUAAGUGGAAGUGGGUCACCAUGAAGGUCUUCAUCCUUGUCUCUUCACAUUGAGUAGGCUGAGGAGUAGGAGGAGGAAGAGGAGGGUUUGGUCUUACUGUCUCGGGGUGGCAGAGGCAGAAGAAAAUCUGCGUAUAUGUGGUCUCUGGCAGUUCUAACCUGUGCUGUUCAAGGGUCCAUUGUAUUUAUUACCCAGUGGGCUGAAAUCAAGAUAAAUUAAGCACAGGUAAGUCCCAUUUCAAGAAGUCCAAUACAUAAAAAUCUGCCCAUAGAAUACUCAAAUGAAACAACCAAAAGAGACCCAAGGCUCUUUUGGAUCCAAUUUCCUCAACACUGAAGAGGAGAAUGUGGCCCUCUGAGAGGCAUUCAGUUGGACUCUGUGUAGUGAGAUUGCUGUUUCUUUAUCUAGGGUCUGGGCACAGGAGCGUGUACCUGGUGAGGAUUAAUUGAAAUGUACUCUUAUGAUCUGGGCACGUUUCUUUUCUUCCUCUUUCUCUUCUCCUCCUCCUCCUCCUCCUCCUACCCCUUCUUCCUCUUCUUUUUUUUUUUUUUUUAAGAGAUGAGGUCUGACUAUGUUGCCCAGGCUGGUCUCAAACUCCUGACCUCAAGUAAUCAACCCACCUCAGCCCCGCAAAGUGCUGGGAUUACAGGUGUGAGCCACCACUCCUGGCCUGGGCACUUUUCUUAUGUAUGCUAUCAUUCAGUAUCUUUUACUCCCAGGGGGAUUUUGAUUGAGGAAGAGCAAGGCAUUUUUUGUUUUGUUUUGUUUUUGAGAUGGAGUCUCGCUCUGUUGCCCAGGCUGGAAUGCAAUGGCACGAUCUCGGCUCACUGCAACCAACCUCGUCUCACUUGUCCUCCCAAAGUUCUGGCAUUACAGGCAUGAGACAUCGUGCCCGGCCUGAGCAAGACAUUCUUUAAAGGUGAGCCACCCCCCUGCGAGGGUGUUUGAGCCACUCCCUCAGGAACCACCCAUUCCUGGUUCUUUCCCACGGGAUUUGCUCCAGCCUCUGCUGCUCUGGCUUCCCCAGCUUCCCACUCCUGGCUCCCCUCCUACCCUCCUGCUUUGUCACGUCCCCUCCAGAUCCCCCAAGGACCCUGGCUGGGCUGGCUUUCCCAUCCCAGAGUCCCCUGUGGCCCCCACUGUCUUGGCUCAGGGAAGCCUCUUUCCCAGACAGGCCCGUCCUGGCCACCACCCCACCCUCCAUCCCCCAGAUGGCACACGUACAAGUCCAUCGCAGACCCCAUCAGAGCCCAGAUUUCUUUGGUGAAGAUGUGACUUGGCACAGAUGAACCCACUCUCUUGAAAUUUCAUUUCUGGGCUGCAUAACCCAGCGGCAGGGCACAGCUAGCAUCCAGACCCCCUGUAAUGAUUUAGAGAAGGAAAAGAAAUCUUGGACGGGCGUGGUGGCUCACACCUGUAAUCCUAGCACUUCGGGAGGCUGAGGCAAGUGGAUCACAUGAGGUCAGGGGUUCAAGACCAGCCUGGCCAAUAUGGCAAAACCCUGUCUCUACUAAAGAUACAAAAAUUAGCCGAAAGCGGUGGCACAUGCCUGUAGUCCAAGCUACAUGGGAGGCUGAGACGGGAGAAUUGCUUGAACCCAGGAGGCGGAGGUUGCAGUGAGCCGAGAUCAUGCCAUUGCACUCCAGCCUGGGUGACAGAGAGAGGCUCUGUCAAAAAAGAAAGAAAGAAAGAAAUCUUAGAGCCCAGGAAGAGAACAAGAACAGGCAAGGCAGACAGUGACUAUCAGUCUUCCCCAGUCAGCUUUCCACCCUGCAGCCUCCACGGUCUUUCUCCAUCCAGCUCCACGCAUGGUCACUCCACUGCGUAAAAACCCUCCAGCUCCUGAAAUGGAAAAAUACACUUCCGAAGCGGCGUGCUCCCAUCACUAACUCCCCCAAAAACUCACCGUCCACACCCUGUGCAUAUUCGAUGUUGGCUCUUAUCUUUAAUUUCCUCUCCCCAUUUUAUCUUGGCUUAUUUAGGGUUUUUUUUUUGGUUGUGUUUUGUUUUGUUUUUUGUUUUUUCCUAUUUUUUGAGAACUCAGUACUUUUACCAUCGCCCUUUUGAAACCCUGGAGCAAUACAAGCAUUUAAGACUAUAAAUUUUCUUCUGAGUACAGCACUAGCCGAGUCCCUCAGAUGCUGGUGUAAACUAUUCUUGUUGUUUUCUAGAAACCAUCAUUCUAGUUUUGGUUUCUGCUUUGAUCUGGGAGUUAUCUGGGAGAGAGUUCCUUCCCCAGUAAAAGGCACUGUUCUCUGUCCCAUUCAAUGCGUUUUGACAAAUGUGUCUACUCAAGUAAACAUCAUCCCAAUCAAGACACAGAGCAUUCCUAGCAGGGCUAUCUUUUUUUCUAUUUAUUUAUGUAUUUAUUGAGACAGAGUCUCACUCUGUCACCCAGGCUGGAGUGCAGUGGCAUGCGAUCUCAGCUUACUACCUUUGUUUCCCGGGCUCAAAUGAGAGCUCCCACCUCAGCCUCCUGAGUAGCUGGGACCACAGGUGUGCACCCCCACAUCUGGCCAUUUUUUUGUAUUUUUGGUAGAAAUGGGGUUUCUCCACGUUGGCCAGGCUCGUCUGGAACUCCUGAGCUCAAGUGAUCCACCUGCCUCAGCCUCCCAAAGUGCUGGGAUUACAGGCAUGAGCCACCACAUCUGGCCAGGGCUAUCUCUUUACCAUUUAUUUUAAUGUCAUUUGUAAUGAUCAGAGCAUGGCCUAUAAUCUUUAUUUUUUAAAUUUUGUAAAGGUUUCUUUUGUAUUCAAAGAAACAAAAGAAGGAAAUAAUUUAUUAAAAAUUCUUAAGCAUCAAAUAUCCUCACCCUUGUGUACAUUUCCAGCUCUGUUUCCGUAUCCCUUCCAUGAAUUUCCUCUUCACUGCGCUCCUAACCUGGUCUAUCCAUCCUUAAACUAUAGCUCUAAUCAUGCCCCAAACACACCCCCUCUUUCAAUAGAUUGUGAGUAGCUGAAGGGUCCGAGGCUGCAUGGUUUCCAUCUCUGUGUCUCUGCAGCUAGACCAGUGCUCAAUGUGGCAGAGGUGCUCCACCAACAUUCACUGACUACAGGUGAAUUAAAUACACCUGUGCCGUGGGGGGACCCAGGCAGGAGGGCAGGUGGUUCAGAGAACACUUCCUGCAGCUGCAGCCUCAUCUCUACCUUGGCUCCAUUCACAGCGAGAUAUUUCAGAUUCUUCUUCAGAGAGCCUGAAUAAUUAAGGGAAAACAUUCUAACAUUCACCUAUUGGUUUUUCUGCCAAGCCCCAGUGGCUUGAAAUAAGUAAAUCAUUUAAACCAUCCCAUCCUUGUGUCUCGGGGAAGGUGGUGAUAGACAGGGAAUCGAUAGAUUCAAUCAGGGGAGUGAGAGGCAUGCGGAUAAAGGUCCCUGGCCAGGGCCUGUCUGCGGCCCUCAUGGCUGGAGAUGCCUCGGAAAUCCAAUCAGGGCUCUUCACAGGGGACAUCACCGCUGACUGUCACUGCAUUCUUACCCCUGAGCUGGCCGAGGGUCCCUGCCGAGAGACAGGGACACGUGGGCUCAGGAAAUAAAGACUCAAAGCCUCCACUUACCCCACACCUCAGCCUCCGAGGGAUGCGGGGUCACCUGCUGGGAGGGAGGGGCAGAGGCCACACUGGGGGUGGCACAUGGGUGGGACCCGGUCCUGCCUGGCUGAAUGUCCCCCAUGCUUUAUCUCUUUCCCAGGCCACCUGGAUUUUAAGAGCACUCACCUGACGCCCUCAUGCCCCAGAUUUCCAGCCCGGCAGCACCCUUGACUGUGGCUGCCAGGCUCUGUGCCAUCUGGCCCCUGCCUGCUCUCCUCUUCCACCUCCUCUGCUUUCCUCCUGUUUCACUGGCUUCUCUCUGCUACUUUUUUUUUUUUUUUUGAGACAGAGUCUCAUUUUGUUGCUCAAGCUGGAGUGCAGUGGCUCAAUCUCGGCUCAGUGCAACCUCUGUCUCCCGGGUUAAAGCGAUUCUUUCGCCUCAGCCUCAUGAGUAGCUGGGAUUAUAGGUGUGUGCCACCACACCAGGCUAAUUUUUGUAUUUUUCAUAGAGACUAAAAAUAGUUAGGGUUUCACCAUGUGGGCCAGGCUGGUCUGGAACUCCUGGCCUCAAGUGAUCCUCCUGCCUCAGCCUCCCAAAGUGCUGAGAUGAUAGGCGUGAGCCACCACACCCGGGCUUCUGCUACUUCUUUGAACCAGGGCCCCCACCUCCUGUCAGGCCUGUGUGACGCUAGCCCCGCUGCCUGGAACUCCCUUCUCCCAGCCCCGCAACAGCCCUCCUAGCUCAGGAACUCCCAGAGGAUAAACAUGAGAUGAUUUGACAAAGCAAACGGGGCUAGCACUAAGAUCGCUGAAUCCUGUAGUGGUUCUUCUCCAAUUCUUCAGUCACCUCAAAGAAAACACCUUGAUUUGGUGCUGAUGCGCCUUUAGCUCCUUUCCAGACCUUGCAUUUCAUCCUUUUGAACAAAGAAAGGACAGGCCCCGGGCUUCCUGCAGAAUGAAGCCCUUCUGUUUAGGUUUAUUGCUUUUAGUUCUACAGUCAUCAUCCUUUUGCAUGGAAAAGAUGCUGGUUUUCUAUUUACUCUGGUGAUAGAGUUUUCCUUUUGAAUUAAAGUUUCUUAAUAAAAACAAAAAUGGAGUUGCUAAGCAACAUACACUGAUGUUAGAGUUGGCAGAAAUGGCCAAAGGACCGGGGCAUGGAUGAAAUCACACUCCUGGGUUGCUCCAAAAUGUUCAGUAAAAUGUGUCUCUAUUAG